GCGACCGGGUGCGCAAAUCUCGGGCGACAGGCUUUGCGCGACUUGUACCGCCCGUGUAGCCGAGUUUGGGUCAUUCUUUCAGGGUUUUUUUGUUUGUCCGCGCAUCUGAGAAGUGGGUGUAGGUAUGACCCUGUUGUUUUUCCCAGAAGUAAGAACGUGGCCGUGGACGAGGCUGGAGGCAGUCGCACUUCUGGAGACCUCAUUUCGGGAGUGCCUUCUCUAGACUGGCUCCACAGGGAAACGCACCUGGGGGCUCCUGACUCCCGUUUUAGUCCAUCCUUAGACCCCGCAGGCCCGGGACUACAAAUUUCGGACCCCCAGACUUAGAUGUUGUUAUGCAUAUGGAUGGCAAGGUUUCCUCCAGAUAGAGCCCUAGCCUCGCAGAUAACAUGCGACCCGCAGAAACCCCGCAGUCCUUCUUGACUUAAAAAGGACUUCCACUUUUCUAGUUUCUCCUCUACCUGUAAAGUGUCUUGAUGUAGGUGAAAAGAAGGAAAAAAAGACUACACGCACAAUAGAGCAUGGUAAAGAUGGAAGAACUCUUUGUUGUUGUUGUUGUUAUCUGAGCUGGAGCUGCAGCAAUGAUGGAUCCUUUAACCCACUGCAUCUGGCCAGGGAUCAAACCCAUGCCUCUGCAGCAACCCAAGCUGCCACAGUCAGCUUCACCUGCCACAUCACAGCGGGAACUCUAGGGUGGAAGGAUUUUUUUUCUUUUCUUUUUAGGGCUGCACCUGCAGCAUAUGUAAGUUACCAGGCCAGGGGUCUAAUCAGAGCUAAGCUGCCCGUCUACACUGAUGCCUAUGCAGCAACAUGGAUUCGCGCCUCAUCUGCACCCUAUACCACAGCUCUCACUGAGCGAGGCCAGGAAUUGAACCCACGUCCUCAUGGAUAUUAGUCAGGUUCUUAAUCUGAAGAACCACAACAGGACCUCUGUGGGGUGAGAGAAUUCUUUCUGUCCCUAUUUUAUAGGUAAGAAAGCUUUUUCUGACUCCAUUCAUAUUGACUACUUGGAGGUCUAUAAAAAGAACUAGCCUUUGUGCUGUUCCUCCAUGUUGGUGGAAUCCCUUGUCUACUAUGACCUUAUUUCCAAUCCAUUUCAGGUCUUCUCCCUCUUCUGUGUGCAAAGCUCCAGUAAUAAGCCACUGUCAUCACCCUGGUGACCUGGGCUUCCUUUGCCAUGCCUCCUGAAGCUGUCAGCCCUUGGACCCUGUGCAAGGAAAAUCAAAAUGGAGUGGGCAUUAGUAAGAGAGCUCUCCAAAAGGGAGCCAGGAGGCCACUGGGACGAGGUGAGUUAUGCACUUAUAAGCUAACCACUUUCUGGAAUUUCCCAUUGUGGCUCGGGUUAAGAACCCCAUAGUGUCCGUGAGGAUGCAGGUUU
rnacentral:lncRNA from 1 species